rnacentral:tRNA from 1 species
CAAAAAAUAGUUUAAUUUAAAAUAUUAAUUUUGGAGAUUAAUGAUAUAAAUUAUUAUUUAUUUUUUUGA